GACGAACGCUGGCGGCGUGCCUAAUACAUGCAAGUCGAACGGUCUUUUCUAUGGAAGUUUGCUUCCACUGAGAAGAUAGUGGCGAACGGGUGAGUAACACGUGGGUAACCUGCCCAUAAGAGGGGGAUAACAUCCGGAAACGGGUGCUAAUACCGCAUAGUUUUUCUGAUCGCAUGAUCGGGAAAGGAAAGACGGCCUUUGUGCUGUCGCUUAUGGAUGGACCCGCGGCGUAUUAGUUAGUUGGUGAGGUAACGGCUCACCAAGACGAUGAUAGGUAGCCGACCUGAGAGGGUGAUCGGCCACAUUGGGACUGAGACACGGCCCAAACUCCUACGGGAGGCAGCAGUAGGGAAUCUUCCGCAAUGGACGAAAGUCUGACGGAGCAACGCCGCGUGAGUGAAGAAGGUUUUCGGAUCGUAAAACUCUGUUGUCAGAGAAGAACAAGUCGGAGAGUAACUGCUCCGGCCUUGACGGUAUCUGACCAGAAAGCCACGGCUAACUACGUGCCAGCAGCCGCAGUAACAC
rnacentral:rRNA from 1 species